UGGUGGGCAUCUUCUUGAUAAACUCCCAGCUGACUGACUGCAAAAGGAUCACAUAUUAUUUGAAAAUGCUUUGCUUAUAUGAUGAUACAGGUAGCAGUUCAAUUCUGAGAGUGAUGAUGACGGAGCAGUUAUGUGGAAGUUGAGAACGCCCCAGCGACAUGUCAAAGUCCAAAUCCUGGGUAACGGUAUUUGAGCUUUACCUGCAUAAAUCGAAUUCAAGCUUUAACUUGGUGGACAGACACAACAAAGAGAACACUUAAAUUUUUAAAUUCCAAUUGAGCUAGCAUUAUUUCUAAAAUACUUAAUCGCAUAUUUGCCUGCGUAGAUUUGCAGUCGAAUAGGAAGUGAAUUUAUCAUCUACAGUAUUUUGGGGUUAAUAACAAGGGGCUUAUUAGCAGAGUUAGGAGUACAAUCUCUUCUCUUUUUUCUUUCCAAACAGAUUCAGCAGAGUCUUUAGUGACCUUGUCUAGGAUAAAAUUUACAGUGCAUGAACUCAACUGCUUUCACAAAAAGGGAAAUCAUUGCCGAGAUCAUGGUACAGUAACAUUAGGUCUGGUGGAUAGCAUCAAUCAUUUAUCAGCCACACCACACUUAAUGGCGAUGGAUAACCUAUCUCCCUGGACGAACGCCCUCGUUUCUCGCCUGCCGAAUAGAGAAAAGAAAUCAGGAAAUGGAAGGCGAUGGCGACAGGAAUCGGGGGGAGCGGAAGCAGGGGAUGCAUCCGUCCAGGACACUAGUGGGACAAGGCCCAAGUGUGCACGCGAGCACAAACUCGCCUUUAAUUUCCUGCCUUUUGAAUCACCAGCGACAAAGCUGCAUAGUCAAGCCCAUCAUGGCCUGGUCAGACUAAUGGGGAUAAUCGUAGCUGUUGACACCCGGCCCAACCUUUCAAUACUUGAACAGUUCAAUACUACCACUGUGUUAGAUUCUGCAUCAGAUUAAGUUGACAACAAGAUUUGUCCUUGUUUGUCCGUAAUUCAGAUUUGUCUCUUCUUAAAGAAAUGAAAAGGAAAGGCAAACACAUAUACAGCUGACAUAGUAGAGGCAAGAACGAGGUAGAAUCAGGACUUUAGAAACUCACCAGGUGGACUUAACUAAACUAAAUAAACUAAACAAAACACUGGGUUGGAGCAGUAGAAAAAACCAAGCGCUCCAGACAGACAUGACACUAACAUGAUGGUAAAACCAACAAGAAGAACAAGGCGACCAGGCAGAGACAAGCGCGCACGACUUGCUUGCUUGGUUGAUUCUGUCGCCGGAGAGACGGCCGUCGCCGUCACCCGGGCGUCGCCUCCUCUGCCUUUGCCUUGCUUCCCUUCCCGUUUGGGCACGAGGCAGCUUUCUUCCUGGGAAGCUUCGUCCGCGGCCGCGGCGGAUGCGACCCUCGGAUCCCGCGAAUCGUCGCGCAUCCGGAGGGCGGGACCCCCCGCCGACAGCGACCCUUGGGUGGGCCGGCACGUGAUCGCCCGCGGUGAAUCAUGGCGUAGCGCGGGGAAAAGGCGGUUGCGGCUGGGCCGGGGUUCCCAGUGCCUGUCUGGCCGUCCGCGUGUGCGCGCCGCGCCACCCGACGGCGACGCGGCCGGCGCGACGUGGUGGCGUGCGCGUCGCAGGCCGAGGGCGGGUCGCCGUCCGGCGGUGGAUGGAUGGAGCUCCGUCGAAGCCGAGGCCACCACGCCACUCUCUCCUCGCGGUCGUGUGCGCGGCGUGCCUGCUCGGAUCGGAACGGCGAGGAGGCGGUCAGUCAACGGCGCGUGCGGGCAGCGGCGACCGGCGACGGGGGUGGGGUUGCCGGCAUGCCGCUCGCUGAUUUCCGUCCCAUCCCAUUCCAUCCCACUGUCUAUGACUACUACUCGUACUGCGGGGUACAGGGAGAUCUAGUUGGUUUGGAGGCCGGAACAGCUCAGCCUGUCCAGGACGGAACGACUUGCUUGCUCCGGCACCAACCAGCCGGAUUCCGAAUUUCCCGUGGGAGGGGCGGCCAGUUCAGCCACCCACCAUUCUUUCCCGUGAUGCCCAUCAUUAAGCUAGCAUGGCAUGAACACGAGCUGAUUUUUUUUUAGACAACAACAAAAAAAAAGGAAAGAAGACAUGAACAGCUCAUAAAUGAUUUGACUUCUUGAUUACAUAUCAUGUUAUGUACACAGUUCUUUAUACAUACAACCAUGGUUACAUGGAGGCGGUAGCUUCACGGCUUGCUUAAGCAAGCAAAAGCCAUCUUCUUUUUUUCAUCACCAUCCCAGGACGGACUCCUCAACUAGAACAUUGAUUGAUAUCUACAAGACGGACGCCCGAACAACGAACAAGAUAUGCUAGUUUACAACACAAGACGAGAAAACCUUGCUGAGAAAAA